GGGGGUUUGCAUUAGGCCUGCAGUCCUUGCAAGCAUCUGUCUCCUGCUGCGGGUAGUUGCACCAGACCUUCAGGCCUUUGCAUGAAUGCAUCCGUCAGAAGCUGCAACUCUUUGCACUAGUCACAUGCAAACUGUGGAACUCAUUGCCAAGAGAUGGUGGAAAGGCCCAGACUAUAACAAGGUUCCAGUAAGAACAACGAAGAAGAGACCUAUGCAUGUACUCAUCCAAUCCAUUUGGAGUCUGGAGCGAAGGGGAUAAAAGUCCCUGACCAGGAAAAUACACAAUCCUUGUUAUGCUGUCUGGAGCCUUGUUAUGCUGUCCGGAGGUGCAAAGAUUCCUAAACAUAAACAGAGAGACCCUCAUGCUGCUUGGGUCGGGAUAGCCCUAAAAGACAUUCAGUGGACAGACUGCGGCAUCUCUGCUGCCUUUUGGACCCACAGACUAACUCAUUUAUGCAUAUAUGUUGCCUGCU